GUGAGGAAUAUUGGUCAAUGGACGUAAGUCUGAACCAGCCAAGUAGCGUGCAGGACGAAGGCCCUAUGGGUUGUAAACUGCUUUUAUGCGGGGGUAAAGUGAGUGACGUGUCAUUCAUUGCAAGUACCGCAAGAAUAAGGACCGGCUAAUUCCGUGCCAGCAGCCGCGGUAAUACGGAAGGUCCUGGUGUUAUCCGGAUUUAUUGGGUUUAAAGGGAGCGUAGGCCGUCAGGCAAGCGUGUUGUGAAAUGUCGUGGCUCAACCAUGGACUUGCAGCGCGAACUGCCCGACUUGAGUGCGCAGAAAGCAGGCGGAAUUUGUGGUGUAGCGGUGAAAUGCUUAGAUAUCACGAAGAACUCCGAUUGCGAAGGCAGCUUACUGUAGCGCCACUGACGCUGAAGCUCGAAAGUGCGGGUAUCGAACAGGAUUAGAAACCCGGGUAGUCC
rnacentral:rRNA from 1 species